rnacentral:rRNA from 1 species
CCCUUAGAUGUUCUGGGCCGCACGCGCGCUACACUGACGAAUGCAACGAGCUUAUAACCUUGUCCGAAAGGUCUGGGUAAUCUCCAAAUUUCGUCGUGAUGGGGAUAGAUUAUUGCAAUUAUUAAUCUUCAACGAGGAAUGCCUAGUAAGCGCAAGUCAUCAGCUUGCGUUGAUUACGUCCCUGCCCUUUGUACACACCGCCCGUCGCUCCUACCGAUUGAAUGGUCCGGUGAAGCGUUCGGACCGUGACCUUUGGACGGUUCGCCGUCUGUUGGCUGUGGGAAGUUCGUUAAACCUUAUCAUUUAGAGGAAGGAGAAGUCGUAACA